CCUACGGGAGGCUGCAGUGAGGAAUAUUGGUCAAUGGACGCAAGUCUGAACCAGCCAUGCCGCGUGCAGGAAGACGGCUCUAUGAGUUGUAAACUGCUUUUGUACGAGGGUAAACGCAGAUACGCGUAUCUGUCUGAAAGUAUCGUACGAAUAAGGAUCGGCUAACUCUGUGCCAGCAGCCGCGGUAAUACGGAGGAUUCAAGCGUUAUCCGGAUUUAUUGGGUUUAAAGGGUGCGUAGGCGGUCGGAUAAGUUAGAGGUGAAAUCCCGAGGCUCAACUUCGGAAUUGCCUCUGAUACUGUUCGGCUAGAGAGUAGUUGCGGUAGGCGGAAUGUAUGGUGUAGCAGUGAAAUGCUUAGAGAUCAUACAGAACACCGAUUGCGAAGGCAGCUUACCAAGCUACUUCUGACGUUGAGGCACGAAAGCGUGGGGAGCAAACAGGAUUAGAUACCCCAGUAGUC
rnacentral:rRNA from 1 species